UACGUAGGGUGCGAGCGUUGUCCGGAAUUACUGGGCGUAAAGAGUUCGUAGGUGGUUUGUCGCGUUGUUCGUGAAAACUCACAGCUUAACUGUGGGCGUGCGGGCGAUACGGGCAGACUGGAGUACUGCAGGGGAGACUGGAAUUCCUGGUGUAGCGGUGGAAUGCGCAGAUAUCAGGAGGAACACCGGUGGCGAAGGCGGGUCUCUGGGCAGUAACUGACGCUGAGGAGCGAAAGCGUGGGGAGCGAACAGG
rnacentral:rRNA from 1 species